ensembl:snRNA LOC120093281 U6 spliceosomal RNA
GUGCUCGCUUCGGCAGCACGUAUACUAAAAUUGGAACGAUACAGAGAAGAUUAGCAUGACCCCUGCACAAGGAUGACACGCAAGUUUGUGAAGCGUUCCAUAUUUUU